rnacentral:rRNA from 1 species
UACGGAGGGAGCUAGCGUUGUUCGGAAUUACUGGGCGUAAAGCGCACGUAGGCGGCGAUUCAAGUCAGAGGUGAAAGCCCGGGGCUCAACUCCGGAACUGCCUUUGAAACUAGAUUGCUAGAAUCUUGGAGAGGCGAGUGGAAUUCCGAGUGUAGAGGUGAAAUUCGUAGAUAUUCGGAAGAACACCAGUGGCGAAGGCGGCUCACUGGCUCGGUACUGACGCUGAGGUGCGAAAGCGUGGGGAGCAAACAGG